rnacentral:rRNA from 1 species
UACGAAGGGGGCUAGCGUUGCUCGGAAUUACUGGGCGUAAAGCGCACGUAGGCGGACAUUUAAGUUGGAGGUGAAAGCCUUGGGCUCAACCCAAGAAUUGCCUUUGAUACUGGAUGUCUCGAGACCGGGAGAGGUGAGUGGAAUUCCGAGUGUAGAGGUGAAAUUCGUAGAUAUUCGGAAAAACACCAGUGGCGAAGGCGGCUCACUGGCCCGGUUCUGACGCUGAGGUGCGAAAGCGUGGGGAGCAAACAGG